CCGGCGCACGGGUGCGUAACGCGUAUGCAACCUACCUUUAACAGGGGGAUAACACUGAGAAAUUGGUACUAAUACCCCAUAAUAUCAUAGAAGGCAUCUUUUAUGGUUGAAAAUUCCGAUGGUUAGAGAUGGGCAUGCGUUGUAUUAGCUAGUUGGUGGGGUAACGGCUCACCAAGGCGACGAUACAUAGGGGGACUGAGAGGUUAACCCCCCACACUGGUACUGAGACACGGACCAGACUCCUACGGGAGGCAGCAGUGAGGAAUAUUGGUCAAUGGACGCAAGUCUGAACCAGCCAUGCCGCGUGCAGGAUGACGGCUCUAUGAGUUGUAAACUGCUUUUGUACGAGGGUAAACGCAGAUACGUGUAUCUGUCUGAAAGUAUCGUACGAAUAAGGAUCGGCUAACUCCGUGCCAGCAGCCGCGGUAAUACGGAGGAUUCAAGCGUUAUCCGGAUUUAUUGGGUUUAAAGGGUGCGUAGGCGGUUUGAUAAGUUAGAGGUGAAAUUUCGGGGCUCAACCCUGAACGUGCCUCUAAUACUGUUGAGCUAGAGAGUAGUUGCGGUAGGCGGAAUGUAUGGUGUAGCGGUGAAAUGCUUAGAGAUCAUACAGAACACCGAUUGCGAAGGCAGCUUACCAAACUAUAUCUGACGUUGAGGCACGAAAGCGUGGGGAGCAAACAGGAUUAGAUACCCUGGUAGUCCACGCAGUAAACGAUGAUCACUCGUUGUCGGCGAUACACAGUCGGUGACUAAGCGAAAGCGAUAAGUUAUCCACCUGGGGA
rnacentral:rRNA from 1 species